AGCGAUGCAAACAUGGUGUUGACAAUUGAUUACUAAUCAAAGUACUGAAUUCACCCUGAUUUAAAAAUUAUUGUUAUGGCCAAAGUCACUGUGUGAAUCUCGGAGUAAAACUUGUCUUUGGUAAUGGAACAAAAUUAACUGUGAUGCCAGAACAUUACUCCAAACCUUCUGCCUAUAUUUUGAAAUCAAACAAGGAUGGGAAGGCAAAAGCUUGUCUUGUGGAUACCUUGAGCAGCACUAACCUUACAGUAGAACUGUCUGGCGAGAAAGCUGAAAUAGAUCCUUCUAUUGUGGACACAGAAAGAUUGUUCAGCGUAGUGGCUAUUCCUAAAGAAUCAAAUGAUGUUCUAAAUUGCAUAAUUAAAUACAAAAAUGAAUCAGACGACAUUGUGUAUGAUGCAGCUAUUGAUGAAGAAAUUAAUAUAUGCAACGGUGACAUUAAUACAGAUGAAAAUCUGAAUACCUUGACUUUGGCUGUUUUGGCUUUAAGAAUAAUUUUUUUUAAGAGCAUCGUGUUCAAUGUCCUCAUGACAGCACGAGCAUGGAUGAGCUAGGAUCACUUGGUUUUAUUAACAAUGUCAAGUAGAAAUACUCAACUGAAAAAAAGAAUCUUUAGCCUGCAUUAUUAAAGACAUAUUUCAAUAGGACAGAUUUAAUCAAAGUAUGCAUGGGCAUUGUUUAUUGUUAUUGCUUUUGUUAUCUAUAUUCAUGUUUUUCAACAAAUGUAUGUACAUGUUCAGAUGUAAUUUAUGUUAUCAUUGUUUUCCAGAAAUACAUUACAAUACUUUGCUGUACUCUUGAAUUUAUGAAAACAUUUUAUUUUUGUGCAAGGUUAUUUAGCAGAGCUCUUCAUUGAAAAUGUUAUCCUGUUUACUUAGUAGCUCUGAAAUGUGCUAGUUGUAAAUAUAUACCUCUAUACAUUCAUUGUUAGAAUAAAGAUGCACAUACUUACCUGAAUAAUGUGUCAUUUAAUAUAUUUUAACAAAUUGUGUCUUUGUUAUAGUAGUGUUUUAUUUUGCAUUGGUGGAACUGACAAUUAGUUCUUCAGCGGGUCUUAAUUUAUAACUGUUUGGUUUUCCAUUUUUACCAGAAAUACAGAUGAUGUUUUUCGAAUAAAAUCCACUAAAAAUCCUAAAAUCCAAAAUACCCUGCAGAGGUCACAGGUCAGCUAAUAAUGUUCAUGGGAGAGCAUAAUAGAGCAAUAACCUUGGGUGCCCAGUAUAUCAGGAAUGCUUUAACAAGGCUGUAAAGAUGUAACGUUCACUGAUUGAUUUCAACAUGUGUUGUUAUUGUGAUGAAACCAAAUUUUUGACAUAAAUUUAUCCAAUUGUUUUCAUUUCUGUACAUUUUGUAUGUUUAUUUGACAUUUUUUAUUACUUUUUUGUUAUUCAGGCAAUGUGAUUUUUUUAUAUAGUUGCCACUAGUUUGGGACUAUCUUUUCAUGGCUGUGGCCAUCUUGUUUAAAGGUUGCUAUGUCAGCUGUCAGUCACAUAACACUGAAAUCAACUGACAUAUUAGGUGGUGCUGUUUUCAUUUUAAAAGAUGGUGGUCCAAAGCUUCAGCCAUCUGAGUACUGAGUCAAAGACAAAAAAACAAACAAAAAAAAAAUCUCCAAUAUAGUGUGAUUUAGCGUUAAACAGUCAGACUACAACAAGGAUUAUUCUAUAUGCUUUCAGAUGUCUUGGUUUUGAUGAUUAAUUUGGAUGGUUAUUUAUUUAUUUUUGACAAAAUGUCUGUUUUGCUUUUAAGCAUCAUUAAUAUCCUGGCCAAUUUUUCCAUUGUUCUUAAUACUUUCUGAGCUCCUAUUUUCUCAUGAUAAUCAUUAGACAAAAAAAAAAAAAGAUAAAACUGUAGUAAAAGAGUUGUUAAUCUGCUUUCCAUUUAUAAAAAAUUACCUUCACAUGUCUGGGUUGACAUGUUUGGUUUGGUGUGUAAUACUUCUUUCAUAUAAAAAGGAAUUAUGACUGCACUGGACCAAAGACAAAGCUCAUGCAUUUAUUCAGUUCUGGGCUGAUAACGGUAUUAAAGGUAAGAUUCAACAUUCAUCUUGUAUCCAGAAAGUAUAUAGAGAAGAGUCAGUCAGUCAUGUCAGUCAUCAUCCAAACCACUAUAUCCUAACAGGGUCACGGGGGUCUGAUGUAGCCAAUCCCAACCAACACAGAGCGCAAGGCGGGAACAAACCCUGGGCAGAGCGCCACCACAGGGCUAGAGAAGAGUCAAAAAGCUCAAUUCAACAGUCUUCAUAUACAGUCUAAAACAGUACUGAGAAAACAUUACAACAAGAGCAUAAAAAAAAA